rnacentral:misc_RNA from 1 species
GCGGCCAACCGAACAUAGGGCUGUCUCUUCACUCUCCCACCCGUCAUUGAACAUGUCGUGGUCGGGAUGCUUCCGAUCGGUUGCCUGUGCGGUUCUACCCUCUUGUGGGUAGCGAASUCGUCCCUUGAUGGAUAUWUGCUUGCCCUUGUGACAUUUUUGUGUCGUYUGGGCAGCCGAAAUGUUGGCGAUAUCCUUGUGUUGGCGCGUGGUUGAAUGMYGUGUUGCUAUCACUUGGAUUUUUGCCGGCUCUCACGGAUGCGGUGCCUAGCGCUAGCUCUGCGGGACUUUGCCCCGCAGACUUCGGGAGGUCCCUUGUACGAAUCAUUGCUCUUAUACGCCGUCUUGUCGUGCCGYUACCGYGGCACGCAGAUCGUGUUCUUUCGUGCAGUCGUUGACAGCACGA